rnacentral:rRNA from 1 species
UACAGAGGGGGCAAGCGUUGUUCGGAAUUACUGGGCGUAAAGGGCGCGUAGGCGGCCUUCUAAGUCGAAUGUGAAAUCCCCGGGCUCAACCCGGGAACUGCGUCCGAUACUGGAAGGCUUGAAUCCGGGAGAGGGAUGUGGAAUUCCAGGUGUAGCGGUGAAAUGCGUAGAUAUCUGGAGGAACACCGGUGGCGAAGGCGACAUCCUGGACCGGUAUUGACGCUGAGGCGCGAAAGCCAGGGGAGCAAAGCGGG